rnacentral:rRNA from 1 species
UACGUAGGGUGCGAGGCGUUAAUCGGAAUUACUGGGCGUAAAGCGUGCGCAGGCGGUUUUGCAAGCCGGAUGUGAAAGUCCCCGGGCUCAACCUGGGAAUGGCAUUCGGGACUGCAAGGCUGGAGUGCGGCAGAGGAGACUGGAAUUCCUGGUGUAGCAGUGAAAUGCGGUAGAUAUCAGGAGGAAUACCGAUGGCGAAGGCAGGUCUCUGGGCUGACACUGACGCUCAUGCACGAAAGCGUGGGGAGCAAACAGG